AUCUACAGCCAUACCACCCUGAACAUGCCUGAUCUUGUCUGAUCGUGGAAGCUAAGCAGGGUCAGGCUUGGUUAGUACUUAGGGGAUCAGGAAAGGGUGCUCUGAUUU
rnacentral:rRNA from 1 species